CGGUCUACCAUGCAGUCGAACGGUGAACACGGAGCUUGCUCUGUGGGAUCAGUGGCGAACGGGUGAGUAACACGUGAGCAACCUGCCCCUGACUCUGGGAUAAGCGCUGGAAACGGCGUCUAAUACUGGAUAUGUGACGUGAUCGCAUGGUCUGCGUCUGGAAAGAAUUUCGGUUGGGGAUGGGCUCGCGGCCUAUCAGCUUGUUGGUGAGGUAAUGGCUCACCAAGGCGUCGACGGGUAGCCGGCCUGAGAGGGUGACCGGCCACACUGGGACUGAGACACGGCCCAGACUCCUACGGGAGGCAGCAGUGGGGAAUAUUGCACAAUGGGCGCAAGCCUGAUGCAGCAACGCCGCGUGAGGGACGACGGCCUUCGGGUUGUAAACCUCUUUUAGCAGGGAAGAAGCGAAAGUGACGGUACCUGCAGAAAAAGCGCCGGCUAACUACGUGCCAGCAGCCGCGGUAAUACGUAGGGCGCAAGCGUUAUCCGGAAUUAUUGGGCGUAAAGAGCUCGUAGGCGGUUUGUCGCGUCUGCUGUGAAAUCCGGAGGCUCAACCUCCGGCCUGCAGUGGGUACGGGCAGACUAGAGUGCGGUAGGGGAGAUUGGAAUUCCUGGUGUAGCGGUGGAAUGCGCAGAUAUCAGGAGGAACACCGAUGGCGAAGGCAGAUCUCUGGGCCGUAACUGACGCUGAGGAGCGAAAGGGUGGGGAGCAAACAGGCUUAGAUACCCUGGUAGUCCACCCCGUAAACGUUGGGAACUAGUUGUGGGGUCCAUUCCACGGAUUCCGUGACGCAGCUAACGCAUUAAGUUCCCCGCCUGGGGAGUACGGCCGCAAGGCUAAAACUCAAAGGAAUUGACGGGGACCCGCACAAGCGGCGGAGCAUGCGGAUUAAUUCGAUGCAACGCGAAGAACCCUUACCAAGGCUUGACAUAUACGAGAACGGGCCAGAAAAUGGUUCACUCUUUGGACACUCGUAACAGUGUUGCAUGAUGUCGUCAGCUCGUGUCGUGAGAUGUGGUUAAGUC
rnacentral:rRNA from 1 species